GCUGCCGGCUCUCAGAUCGGGAUGAUAGUCAAUUCCUUCACUAACGUCACUGUGGCCAUGAUCAUUGCCUUCUCCUUUAGCUGGAAGCUGAGCCUGGUCAUCUUGUGCUUCUUCCCCUUCUUGGCUUUAUCAGGAGCCACACAGACCAGGAUGUUGACAGGAUUUGCCUCUCGAGAUAAGCAGGCCCUGGAGAUGGUGGGACAGAUUACAAAUGAAGCCCUCAGUAACAUCCGCACUGUUGCUGGAAUUGGAAAGGAGAGGCGGUUCAUUGAAGCACUUGAGACUGAGCUGGAGAAGCCCUUCAAGACAGCCAUUCAGAAAGCCAAUAUUUACGGAUUCUGCUUUGCCUUUGCCCAGUGCAUCAUGUUUAUUGCGAAUUCUGCUUCCUACAGAUAUGGAGGUUACUUAAUCUCCAAUGAGGGGCUCCAUUUCAGCUAUGUGUUCAGGGUGAUCUCUGCAGUUGUACUGAGUGCAACAGCUCUUGGAAGAGCCUUCUCUUACACCCCAAGUUAUGCAAAAGCUAAAAUAUCAGCUGCACGCUUUUUUCAACUGCUGGACCGACAACCCCCAAUCAGUGUAUACAAUACUGCAGGUGAAAAAUGGGACAACUUCCAGGGGAAGAUUGAUUUUGUUGAUUGUAAAUUUACAUAUCCUUCUCGACCUGACUCGCAAGUUCUGAAUGGUCUCUCAGUGUCGAUUAGUCCAGGGCAGACACUGGCGUUUGUUGGGAGCAGUGGAUGUGGCAAAAGCACUAGCAUUCAGCUGUUGGAACGUUUCUAUGAUCCUGAUCAAGGGAAGGUGGAACCAGUGUUGUUUGCCUGUAGCAUAAUGGACAAUAUCAAGUAUGGAGACAACACCAAAGAAAUUCCCAUGGAAAGAGUCAUAGCAGCUGCAAAACAGGCUCAGCUGCAUGAUUUUGUCAUGUCACUCCCAGAGAAAUAUGAAACUAACGUUGGGUCCCAGGGGUCUCAACUCUCUAGAGGGGAGAAACAACGCAUUGCUAUUGCUCGGGCCAUUGUACGAGAUCCUAAAAUCUUGCUACUAGAUGAAGCCACUUCUGCCUUAGACACAGAAAGUGAAAAGACGGUGCAGGUUGCUCUAGACAAAGCCAGAGAGGGUCGGACCUGCAUUGUCAUUGCCCAUCGCUUGUCCACCAUCCAGAACGCGGAUAUCAUUGCUGUCAUGGCACAGGGGGUGGUGAUUGAAAAGGGGACCCAUGAAGAACUGAUGGCCCAAAAAGGAGCCUACUACAAACUAGUCACCACUGGAUCCCCCAUCAGUUGACCCAAUGCAAGAAUCUCAGACACACAUGACGCACCAGUUACAGGGGUUGUUUUUAAAGAAAAAAACAAUCCCAGCAGGAGGGAUUGCUGGGAUUGUUUUUUCUUUAAAGAAGAAUGUUAAUAUUUUACUUUUACAGUCAUUUUCCUACAUCGGAAUCCAAGCUAAUUUCUAAUGGCCUUCCAUAAUAAUUCUGCUUUAGAUGUGUAUACAGAAAAUGAAAGAAACUAGGGUCCAUAUGA
rnacentral:misc_RNA from 1 species